AACGGCAAUCAUAAUAAGAAAAAACAUAAAAUUUAAAACAGCAUUGAGCGUGGUUAGUACUUGGAUGGGUGACCGCUUGGGAACACCGCGUAUCGUUGGCA
rnacentral:rRNA from 1 species